rnacentral:rRNA from 1 species
CCCUUAGAUGUUCUGGGCGGCCCGCGCACUACAAUGGCGUGUGCAGCGAGUGCCGAAGUAGAGUUUUCCGAGGUAUUCUUGCAAUGCUCGUUUUGAUGGGGAUAGACCCUUGCAACUGUUGGUUUUGAACGAGGAAUUCCUUGUAAGCAUGGUUUAUCAUCCGACGCUGAAUGCGUCCCUGCCCUUUGUACACACCGCCCGUCGCUCCUACCGAUGAGUCGUCCGGUGAAGUUCGUAGACCUCGUGAUCGCGGAUCACUGGGGGACGCAAAAUGAACCUCGCGGUUUAGAGGAAGGAGAAGUCGUAACA